UGAGCAACCUGCCCUUGACUCUGGAAUAACAGCUGGAAACAGCUGCUAAUACCGGAUACGACCUCACCAGUCAUCUGAUGAGGUGGAAAGCUCCGGCGGUCAAGGAUGGGCCCGCGGCCUAUCAGCUUGUUGGUGGGGUCAUGGCUCACCAAGGCGACGACGGGUAGCUGGUCUGAGAGGAUGACCAGCCACACGUGGAACUGAGAUACCGGU
rnacentral:rRNA from 1 species